GACGUAGGGCGCAAGCGUUGUCCGGAAUUACUGGGCGUAAAGCGUGCGCAGGCGGUUCGCUGUGUCCUGUGUGAAAGCCCCGGGCUUAACCUGGGAAUGGCAUGGGAAACUGGCGGGCUGGAGUGUGGCAGAGGGGGGUGGAAUUCCGCGUGUAGCAGUGAAAUGCGUAGAGAUGCGGAGGAACACCGGAUGGCGAAGGCAGCCCCCUGGGCUAACACUGACGCCUCAGGCACGAAAGCGUGGGGAGCAAACAGG
rnacentral:rRNA from 1 species